AGAAGUGCAUCUCACCCUCUAAAGGUCAGGCGCAUUCUGGGAGCACUGUCCUUGGCAGACAUCAGUAGAAAACAGCCCAGAAACAGAAGUGUAGAUAAGAGAUGUGUCCCAGGGCUGACGCAAUACAAAUUUCAAGGCUGUGGAACCAGGAGAAGGUCUGAGGAACGGAGCUCCCGGAAGUAAAGGCAUUGCCUCACAUUUGAGUCAUGACUUCAGGAUUUGUGGUCAGAAGCACGAGGUGGAGAAGUCCUGAUACAAUCUUUGUACUGUACGGUUGCCGUCUGGACUUCAUUGACUAUCCCGGAGCGAUCCAGCACAAGUGACAAGUGAAGACCUUGGCUGUGUUUCAGAAGCACAAUUACAACUCUUGGGGUAAAGAGCCUCAGCGACAAGGCCCAGGAAAGCAGGUGUAUUGAGAAUUAGAGAGACUCGGAGCGGGCCCCAGAGGAGAGGUAGGGAGUGGUCCUGGCAGCUGUUGGAUGAAGCAGGUUGGAAGGGCCUUGAGAGCAGAGGUCUGUUGUUUAACAUCAUCUUCGAGUGUACCCUAGCACGGCGGUCUCGGCUGGAGAGAUUUUCUGUGUGCUGAACUUAGAUGGAUAUGUCAAAGUGUACUCAAGCUUUCUUGAACUUUUUCCCCAUCUGAAAUCACUAAAAAUGUGCAGUAUUUCAAAAAGCCCAAGUUUGCCUCCAAAUAUGCUUGUGAAAUGUAUUUCAACACACAUAUCCAACAGUAAGAACAUGCUGGCCAUAUCAAUCCUCACAGCAACUCUUUAUUGCAGCAUAUUGAGGUUUAAUCAGGAAACAGGUUAGAGCUUCUAUGUACAGGUUUUCUUCUAGUUUGAGGUUUUCCUGAAAUAUGUGACACAGACUCGUUAUACAAAUGGCCACUAGUAAAUUAUUUCCAGCAUGUGUUACUCUGUCAACAGUGAUGCUUUCACAGAACCUUUGUCCUCCACAAUUCCCCCCCUCCAUUUAAACCAGGACAUUUCCAUCUCAGUGAGCCACUGCUGUAUUUGGGACCUAAGCGAGAAGCUGGAUAAACAGAGGCGCUAUUAUUAUUGUUACUGUCAAUAUAGUUUCCUUCCCUAGUUAUAACUGAUUAUUUCCUUUUUUCCAUUUCAAAACAUUUUUGUUCAAAUGCUUCUGAUGGCUCUCGUCACAAGCAAUAUUCCUUCGGAAAUAAUGCACCUUUUUAAUUUCUCAACCUAAAAUACACAGCCCGUCAUCUCCAUAGUAGGAUGAUGCUGUUAGAGAGAUCAGCUGUGUCUAGUUGGAGAAUUUUUAGGGGAAUAAGGGAUUACAGGAGCGAGUGCUUCCUCUAUUAGUUCGUGCAAAGUGAAGACAAGAAAGAAAGUCUGUAGGAUGUAAGAGGUGAUGUUACUCCAGCAAGAGUUGGGCAUUUGGAAACACAUGGAGUUAAAAGCAGUUUUCACUUAAUGUGCUUUGUUGUUUCUGCUACAAUAAAAAUAAAUAAUAAAAAUUC
rnacentral:lncRNA from 1 species